AGAGUUUGAUCCUGGCUCAGAUUGAACGCUGGCGGCAGGCCUAACACAUGCAAGUCGAGCGGCAGCGGGAAAGUAGCUUGCUACUUUUGCCGGCGAGCGGCGGACGGGUGAGUAAUGCCUGGGGAUCUGCCCAGUCGAGGGGGAUAACUACUGGAAACGGUAGCUAAUACCGCAUACGCCCUACGGGGGAAAGCAGGGGACCUUCGGGCCUUGCGCGAUUGGAUGAACCCAGG
rnacentral:rRNA from 1 species